rnacentral:sRNA from 1 species
GGAUGUGAGGGCGAUCUUCCUAUGAUAUCUGUCACCCCAUUGAUCACCAGUGUUGAUUCAACUGAUCUGGCUGACUAGGCGGGCGUUCCCUUCCUCCCUCACCACUACACGUGCAUCCCUCCUGAGCUGCAUACUCAGUCAAAGAGGACGACCAUCCCCGACAGAGGACACCCAUUGUGUAGAGUUUAAGUUCAUUCAGGACAGAUUACUUCUUUUGAAUUUGAUCUAUAAUCUUAUGGUGAUGAAUAAU